ensembl:lincRNA
ACCCCAGCCCCUGCCCUGGCUUGUCCACCCAGGCAAGACGCUGCCCAGCAGCCUGGGUCCCCUGGGCUUCCCGGCCACGCCAUCCCUCCGAGACCACAUUCCUGACCAUGCAGGCUUUCCCUGCAAACCGCCCACAGCUCUGAGCCUUACUGACGUGCAGCUGCCCCCGCCUACAUCACUGGCCACGCAGCAGCUGUCCAGGCUGCCCUACCGUCUCUGCCUGAGGGCCAGGAAGACCAACCCUGCCCUUCAGGACCCCUGUGGCCAGCCUCAGCUCAGAGUGGGAGGCAAUGAGAAUGGAGUUCUGUCACCUAUACCACCACAGAGGUCACCAGGUCCCGUGCACUCAGCCACACGUCCCUUGGGCCUCAGCACCACACAGCCCCUCAGGUGGGUCCCUCCCUGCCUUUGCUCCACUUCCCCAAACCCACAUGGUCCCCUUUGUGUCUUCCUCAGCUCUGCCGCUUUCUCCCCUCCAGGGGGCACCUGCAACUUCCAGGGACACCCUCAGUUCUGCCACCGUCCCCUCACACCAGGCUCACCCUCGCCCCCCUCCGUCUGUCACCUGCCCCCAUCUAACUGGCUUCACCACCCUGGAUCCCUCUCCAGGCCACCAACUGCCAGAGAGUUCCACUUGGGAAGAGAGGUCCCAGGUCCCCUCACCCACCAGCUGUGACCGAAGCUGGGAAAGCUGGAGGCAGCAAGCCAGGAAGAGUCCACCCAGAAAGGAAGUGUCCCAGCGAUGGGCAGAACACCCGCGUGGUCUUCCAGUGACCGAUGGCAGGAAUAUCAGGAAGGAAUGGUGUCCGGCUCCGGUGAGUUGUGGCUUAAUAUCGUGAAUUCUUAGCCUGUCUUUGUAUUUACUGCUUAACGGGCGGGCUGUGAGGCUGUGGUCAGGUCCCAGCCGCCAGGGAGGGGAGCCUCUGCCCGGUUCCCGGCCGUCUGCUCCUGUCUGUAAUGAGAACGUUUAUUUAUGACUUCAAUUUGGUUUUUAUUGUCAUUCCUGUUUGCUUUUCAGAAUUAGGAGAAGUACAUCAAGCACUCUUCCCGCCCCCACGCACAGAGCAGAUCUUUCCUCAGAUGCGAGGGAGGAAAAGCCUCUCAUAAUCAUGUUGAAUGUUAAUAAUUAAAGUUAAACGGCUCAGUGGAUUGAGUCUCUAUUUCUUGAAAGCCACCUGCUUCAUCACAGGGUGACCCUGCGUGUCAGUUCUCCGUACCUAAAUGACUGGUGAAGUUCAGUUCCGGCAAACUUGGCAUUUCCCAGGAAACUUGGACUUAAUAAGGGUUUCCUUCUGGGUUUCCCAGGACCCUUCAAUACCACAGCCCUCGCUUGGUCUUGACCUGACAUGUUUCCCAAGAGAUGCGUGAGGGUGAGGGGCUGUCGGCGGUUGUCAUGGUUACUGGAACUGCAACCUGCCGUCCAUCUCCCAUUCACCCAGCUCCCUGGAGAGACUUUAGUCCUGUCCCACCACCCCACACUGGGAUCCUUGAUCUGCAGCCCUUCUGGGAAGAAGCCAUGUAGCCCAUCCUCCUGCCCCGACCCCCACACCCAGGAGGGGGAUCUGGGGCCACAGCUGUAGCCCACAGCCAGCUCCUCAGCAGCCCUUUUUUUUUUCCUCAGAAAGCAACUGGCCUUGUAAAGACCAAGUUGUGGGCAUGGGUCAGGGUUAGGCUCCUUUUGUGGCUCCUAAAGGCAAAGCCUUCUGUGGCUGGUGCAGCUCUAAGCCCUUGUAAAAUC